rnacentral:rRNA from 1 species
UACGGAGGGGGCUAGCGUUGUUCGGAAUUACUGGGCGUAAAGCGCACGUAGGCGGCUUUGUAAGUUAGAGGUGAAAGCCCGGAGCUCAACUCCGGAAUUGCCUUUAAGACUGCAUCGCUAGAAUUGUGGAGAGGUAAGUGGAAUUCCGAGUGUAGAGGUGAAAUUCGUAGAUAUUCGGAAGAACACCAGUGGCGAAGGCGACUUACUGGACACAUAUUGACACUGAGGUGCGAAAGCGUGGGGAGCGAACAGG